AUUGAACGCUGGCGGCAGGCCUAACACAUGCAAGUCGAACGGUAGCACAGAGGAGCUUGCUCCUUGGGUGACGAGUGGCGGACGGGUGAGUAAUGUCUGGGAAACUGCCCGAUGGAGGGGGAUACCUACUGGAAACGGUAGCUAAUACCGCAUAACGCCUUCGGACCAAAGUGGGGGACCUUCGGGCCUCACACCAUCGGAUGUGCCCAGAUGGGAUUAGCUAGUAGGUGGGGUAAUGGCUCACCUAGGCGACGAUCCCUAGCUGGUCUGAGAGGAUGACCAGACACACUGGAGGUGAGACACAGGCCAGGCUCCUACGGGAAGCAGCCGUGCGGGAUAUUGCAGAAUGGGCGCAAGCGUAGUGCAGCCAUGCCGCGUGUAUGAAGAAGGGCUUCGGGGUAUAUAGUACUUUCAUCGGGGAGGGAGGAAUCAAGGUUAAUAGCCGUGGCGAUUGGCAUUACCCGCGGAAGAAGCACCGGCUAACUCCGUGCCAGCCGCCGCGGUAA
rnacentral:rRNA from 1 species